rnacentral:misc_RNA from 1 species
GAAAUGCGAUAAGUAAUGUGAAUUGCAGAAUUCAGUGAAUCAUCGAAUCUUUGAACGCACAUCGCGCCCUUUGGCAUUCCGAGGGGCAUGCCUGUUCGAGCGUCAUUACACCACUCAAGCCUGGCUUGGUAUUGGGCGACACGGCUCCCGUGCGCCUCGAUUUCGCCGGCUGGACGACCCGAUUCUCAGCGUUGCGGUAAAAAACUCGCUAGCAGAAGAGGGGCGGCCGCGCCGUUAAAACCUUCUAAGGUUGACCUCGGAUCAGGUAGGAAUACCCGCUGAACUUAA